AGUGUAGGCGGCCGUGUAAGUCGGAUGUGAAAGCCCUGGGCUUAACCUGGGAAUGGCAUCCGAUACUGCACGGCUCGAGUCUGACAGAGGGAUGUGGAAUUCCGGGUGUAGCGGUGAAAUGCGUAGAUAUCCGGAGGAACACCAGUGGCGAAGGCGGCAUCCUGGGUCAAGACUGACGCUGAGGCUCGAAAGGCUGGGAGCAAACA
rnacentral:rRNA from 1 species